rnacentral:lncRNA from 1 species
GUGGUGGUUAGGGAGGCAUAUGGCAUCCAUUUAUUCUUUCUGGCUGCUUCCUUUUCUCCUCUCCAUCAUCUCCUUGGAUUUGUUCUCUUUUUCUGAACCUGAGCAAGUUCAGACAACCAACUGCAGGAAACCAAGUACGUAUAUUUCUACUGCAUUCAGUGACACUUUCUGUGUAGAACUGUCUACUCUUUAGCGCUGAGAAAUAAAGAGACUGGUUUGGAGCCUUUGCUUUGCCUCCCAGAGGAGUUCUUAAGAGCGGACAAUGAAUUCAGGGCCCCAGGCCCAGCUCUGUAGCUGUAAGCACCGUGAUUUGAGAAACACCAACUUCAACUUUCCCAGUGCAGAAUCCUUUGAGAAGUAUUGCAACACUAAGUUAAAAAAGCCACAAGAAAACUUCAUUAAAACAUCAGUUAUGAGAACCAAAAUAACCAACAGGAGAGGCACAGGUAAAGAACAGAAAGGCUUUAUUAUAUGAGACAUCAUCUUAUCGUUGCCACCAUACUGGGAAAAUCGCUGUGAUCGCAGUUCAGGAACAGGCAUGGUCAGAAGCAGCUCUUUCUCAGUAAUCAAUCAUCUCAGCAUAAGAUGCUUCUUACCAGCAGGCACAUGCACAGAUCCACAACAUGUGAGUAUUCUCCUCUCAGUGUCAGUCUCAUGUGCAAACAGUGGCUUCCUACAGACACCCGAAUGCCUGCUGCCAUGAGGAUUGUAUGGUGCACGUGAGAAUAGGCACAGGACUAGGAGUACUGCAAAAGGCACAUUAUUGGUCUUUGUACUAGAAAAAAUCCUUCUAAGGUAAGUCUGCUUAGCCUCACCUGGAACAGUUUGACAGCAAGCAUAAAGCACUUGUAAACUACAAACCAUCAGGG